AGGACGAACGCUGGCGGCGUGCCUAAUACAUGCAAGUCGAACGAGACUUUCCUCGGUGGUAACACCUUUGAUUGUCUAGUGGCGAACGGGUGAGUAACACGUGAGAAACCUGCUCUGAAGACGGGGAUAACAGAAGGAAACUUCUGCUAAUACCCGAUACCCCCACCGGGUCGCAUGGUCUGGUGAGGAAAUGGAUUCCGCUUCAGGAGGGUCUCGCGGCCUAUCAGCUUGUUGGUGAGGUAAUGGCUUACCAAGGCUUGGACGGGUAGCUGGUCUGAGAGGACGAUCAGCCACACUGGGACUGAGACACGGCCCAGACUCCUACGGGAGGCAGCAGUAAGGAAUAUUGCGCAAUGGGCGAAAGCCUGACGCAGCAACGCCGCGUGCGGGAUGAAGGCCCUCGGGUUGUAAACCGCUUUCAGUAGGGAAGAAAAUGACGGUACCUACAGAAGAAGCCCCGGCCAACUACGUGCCAGCAGCCGC
rnacentral:rRNA from 1 species